rnacentral:rRNA from 1 species
GAACGCUGGCGGCAGGCUUAACACAUGCAAGUCGAGCGGGGAAAGGUAGCUUGCUACUGGACCUAGCGGCGGACGGGUGAGUAAUGCUUAGGAAUCUGCCUAUUAGUGGGGGACAACAUUCCGAAAGGAAUGCUAUUACCGCAUACGUCCUACGGGAGAAAGCAGGGGACCUUCGGGCCUUGCGCUAAUAGACGAGCCUAAGUCGGAUUAGCUAGUUGGUGGGGUAAAGGCCUACCAAGGCGACGAUCUGUAGCGGGUCUGAGAGGAUGAUCCGCCACACUGGGACUGAGACACGGCCCAGACUCCUACGGGAGGCAGCAGUGGGGAAUAUUGGACAAUGGGGGGAACCCUGAUCCAGCCAUGCCGCGUGUGUGAAGAAGGCCUUAUGGUUGUAAAGCACUUUAAGCGAGGAGGAGGCUACUAGUAUUAAUACUACUGGAUAGUGGACGUUACUCGCAGAAUAAGCACCGGCUAACUCUGUGCCAGCAGCCGCGGUAAUACAGAGGGUGCGAGCGUUAAUCGGAUUUACUGGGCGUAAAGCGUGCGUAGGCGGCCAUUUAAGUCAAAUGUGAAAUCCCCGAGCUUAACUUGGGAAUUGCAUUCGAUACUGGAUGGCUAGAGUAUGGGAGAGGAUGGUAGAAUUCCAGGUGUAGCGGUGAAAUGCGUAGAGAUCUGGAGGAAUACCGAUGGCGAAGGCAGCCAUCUGGCCUAAUACUGACGCUGAGGUACGAAAGCAUGGGGAGCAAACAGGAUUAGAUAC